rnacentral:lncRNA from 1 species
GCGGCGCUCGCGAAACCCGAAGACUUGCAGGGUAAGAACUGAAGCCACCAAAAGGCUUACUAUACCACACAACACCCAAGCCUUCCUUUGGGGCAUGGGGACAGUGGAUCUAUGGCUCCUCAGGGUGCCAACCAAUUGAAGAAGGAAGCCAGCUCCACUCAACAGCUUCUACAAAGGAAGGGCCACAGGAGAGGGGCUUCAGUGGUUCCAGGCAGCUGCUUCAUUCACAACAGAAUGGCCAUUUUCUCCAGCAUGGCCAACUAUCCCUAGUCUUUUUGUCAUGACAGCCUAGAAGGCAGAAGCUAGGGCCAAGGCGGCUGCUAAGGAAUUCCUACUCCUACUGGGGCCUAAUGUCAGGCUUUCCUUAUAUUGUGGAGUGGGCCCUGGAAGAUAGUUAGAGACCCUUCCUGCUGGGCACCCUGAAGAGGAGCAAGAGGAUCUGGUGAGCAAAAUGAAGCAAAAGUGCAGUGCUGGAGCUGACAGCCCUGUUCCCUACUGCACGCAGUUGGCUCAGGGCUGUCCCCCACUUUGGAGCUUCUUGCCACUCACGGGCUACCCUGCACACACUACUUACUGCCCAGGCCUGUCUGCCACCACAGUACCCUGUGCCUGAGACCUUUCCUGGCCUCUGCUGGAUCCCAGGCCUAGUAUCAUUCCUAGGGACUCCAGAGGCAAGUCCAGGCUAAUAUGCUCUGGGAAAACAAUGUACAAUGUACAUGUUUGCCUUUUGACGUAGAUAAAUGAUACCUGGAUCCCAGGUCUGGCUCUGGGGCAGGGGAGCUUCAGGCCUGGCUAUGGCAGAACACUGAAGGAGGUACUUUGGGUUUUCACAACCUCUUAAAUCAUCUCAGAGAGAGAGUGAACAACUUACUUUCACAUGCACAAGCUGCCGCUGGCUCUGUCACAAGAAGAUGGACUACAAGUAAUAAAAUCAAGAUGAAGUUCUGUGUACAUCUUUCCAGCUUACAAGAAUUGUAGAAAGUUGAAGAUGAAAGGGAUAUUAAAGAGCAUCUCAUUCUACCUCCUCAUUUUGCAGCUGUAAGAACCGAGGCCCAGGGAGGGGGACUGGGGAAGCCACCAUCACACAGCUGCUCCGUGGCAGGAGUUGUGCUAACUUUCUGUGGCUGUUGCCAUUACACCCAGCAUCUUUUGACUUUUGAAAACAGCGAAGGAGAAAUCAGUCCUCCCAGCAUCUUCACCUCCCACGACGUUUAUUGUUUCCAGCUGUUAAAAAUUGGCCCUUUAAAAAUGGGUCGUCUUGCCAGUCAUUGAGGGUCACCGCGGUGGGGAGUGCUGAUUUAGAGGGCGGCAGAACAGGGAGGUGAUUGGAGGCAUAAUUGCCAGUCUCCUCCUUGGCACCUGGGGAUUUCUGUCAUUCAAGUCUCAGGGUGUGUGCCCUCAGCAAAUACUAACCCACAGAGUCAAUUGCUAACUGCAGUCAUCUGUGCAUUUGCCCUCUGGGGAUGGAAAGCCAUAAGAAAUGCCAUUUCCUAAUCUAGUUGGCCUUGGAUGAGAAGAUGUUUUUGCCUAAUGGAAGCCUUUGGAGAGUGAAUAAUGUGAAUAAUGUGUAUUUAGGACCUACAGUGCUCCCCAGGAUGCUGUAAGGGACCUGGUUAUAAAGAAAAAAACCUCACUGAUGGUCUUGGCUUUGUCCUUGUCUGAGUUAAGUCCUUUUGGUUGGAAGUAAUCAACUUGAGCUGACGUAAGCAUUAAGGGACAUAGAAGAGUAUAGCAGUAUCUCAUGAAGUCCAAGGGCAGAUGGCCUCAAGGUAGCCCGAGAAGCUGCUAGGAACCUAGACAGUCCACCUUCUCCAGCUUUCUUCUCUGCUUCGUGUCUCCCUCUGCAAUCCACUUUCUUCUCUGUGAGUAGCUGGGCAGAGGAUAAUCCCUCAACAACUAUCACAUCUACAUCUUCUCUCCUAAAGAGAUUAGCCAAAGGUGAGUGGCUGUCCUCAGUCCAAUACCAGAUUCCUGGGAGAGGGAAUUUGGUUGUCCCAGCCUGGGUCAGGUGCACAGCUUGAUCCAAUCAGGUGUGCCCAGGAGAGGGUGCCCUGAGACAGGCACAUCUGGGGACACUCAUCCUCAUGAAUGACCGGACAGUUCUCCAGGAAAGAAGAGAGAAGAGUGGAGGUCAGACAUUUCAAAUGUAUAUUAUAGGCAUCAAAUUAGUUACUGAUACAGAAAAAUGGCAAUGUCUAAGUAGGGGGCUUGAGAAACAGUUCAAACACUGUAUAGAUUUUGAUUAUUUGCUUAACUUCCAGGAUGAUAAAUUGUCUAUUAUGGAGCUGUAUUUUUUUUUUGGAGACAGAGUCUUGCUGUUUGGCUGGAGUGCAGUGGCGUGAUCUCGGCUCACCACAACCUCCACCUCCAGGUUCAAGCAAUUCUCCUGCCUCAGCCUCCCGAGUAGCUGGGAUUACAGGUGCCCACCACCAGCCCUGGCUAAUUUUUGUAUUUUUAGUAGAAACGGGGUUUCACCAUGUUGGCCAGGCUGGUCUAGAACUCCUGACCUCAAGUGAUCCGCCCUUCUCGGCCUCCCAAAGUGCCAGGGAGUGUACAGUGGAGUUUUCCAGAAGGCAUAUGCCAUGUGCAUCACCACAGCUUAAAUGCAGAAACAGACAUGAGGAUCUAGCUGUGUCCUACUAAGCCAGACAUUCAGGACAUCUAAAAGUGUAAAACAAUGCCACUCUUCUCACUAACUUUUUUGUUUUGGAAAAUAUAUCUUUCAUAAAAUAUUGAUUAUGUUGAUAUAUUACGGGUUUGUUGUUAUUAUUUUAAAUGAAUUAAUAAAUAAUUUUCUGAUUUAAUUUCUAUUACUGUAAAUAUUGAUGGAUAUAUCCUGUAUAAGCAAAAACUCUCUGGGGUUCUCAACUAUUUUUAAGAGUGUAAAGGGGUCAUUAGAGAACUGCUCAAGAAUGUUAGUAUUAUUUAAAGAGCUUCUGCACAGAAAAACUAUCAACAGAGUAAACAAACAAACUACAGAAUGGGAGAAAAUCUUCACAAGCUGUGCAUCUGACAGGGGCUAACAUCCAGACUCUAUAGGGAACUUAAACAUUUCAAUGAGUAAACAAUAAUUAACCCCAUUAAAAAGUGGGCAAAGGACAUGAACAGACACUUCUCAAAAGAAGACAUACAAGCAGCCAACAGACAUGAAAAAAUGUUCCACAUCACUACUCAGAGAAAUGCAAAUUUAAACCACAGGGAGAUACCAUCUCACUCUAGUCAGAAUGGCUAUUAUUAAAAAGUCAAAAAAAUAAUAACAGAUGCUGUUGAGGCUGUAGAGAAAAUGUAAUGCUUAUACAUUGUUGAUGGGAACAUAAAUUAGUCCAGCCACUGUGGAAAGCAGUUUGGAGAUGCCUCAGAGAACUUAGAACUACCAUUUGACCCAGCAGUCCCAUUACUUGGUACAUACCCAAAAGAAAACAAAUGUUUCCACCAAAAAGACGCGUGUGCUCAUAUGUUCACUGCAGCACUAUUCACAAUAGCAAAGACAUGGAAUCAAUCUAGGGGUCCAUCAGUGGUGGGUUAGAUAAAGACCAUGUGGUACACAUACACCAUGAAAUACUGCCCAGCCAUAAAAAAGAACGAAAUCAUGUCCUUUGCAGCAACAUGGAUGCAGCUGGAAGCUGUUAGCCCAAGUGAAUUAAUGCAGGAACAGAAAACCAAAUCCUGCAUUUUCUCACUUAUAAGUGUGAGCUAAACAUUGAGUACACGUGGACGUAAAGAUGGAAACAGCAGACACUGGAGACUACCAGAGGA